AUCCAUAGGUUAAUGAGGCGAACCGGGGGAACUGAAACAUCUAAGUACCCCGAGGAAAAGAAAUCAACCGAGAUUCCCCCAGUAGCGGCGAGCGAACGGGGAGGAGCCCAGAGCCUGAAUCAGUGUGUGUGUUAGUGGAAGCGUCUGGAAAGGCGCGCGAUACAGGGUGACAGCCCCGUACACAAAAAUGCACAUGCUGUGAGCUCGAUGAGUAGGGCGGGACACGUGGUAUCCUGUCUGAAUAUGGGGGGACCAUCCUCCAAGGCUAAAUACUCCUGACUGACCGAUAGUGAACCAGUACCGUGAGGGAAAGGCGAAAAGAACCCCGGCGAGGGGAGUGAAAAAGAACCUGAAACCGUGUACGUACAAGCAGUGGGAGCCCUGAUUUAUCAGGGUGACUGCGUACCUUUUGUAUAAUGGGUCAGCGACUUAUAUUCUGUAGCAAG
rnacentral:rRNA from 1 species